rnacentral:rRNA from 1 species
CUACGGGGGGCAGCAGUGAGGAAUAUUGCACAAUGGGGGAAACCCUGAUGCAGCAACGCCGCGUGGAGGAUGACGCAUUUCGGUGUGUAAACUCCUUUUAUGAGUCAAGAAAAUGACGGUAGCUCAUGAAUAAGCACCGGCUAACUCCGUGCCAGCAGCCGCGGUAAUACGGAGGGUGCAAGCGUUACUCGGAAUCACUGGGCGGAAAGGACGCGUAGGCGGGAUGUCAAGUCAGGUGUGAAAUCCUAUGGCUCAACCAUAGAACUGCACUUGAAACUGGCAACCUAGAGUAUGGGAGGGGGAGAUGGAAUUAGUGGUGUAGGGGUAAAAUCCGUAGAUAUCACUAGGAAUACCGAAAGCGAAGGCGAUCUCCUGGAACAUUACUGACGCUAAGGCGUGAAAGCGUGGGGAGCAAACAGGAUUAGAUACCCCAGUAGUC